rnacentral:rRNA from 1 species
CAGAGGGUGCAAACGUUGUUCGGAAUUACUGGGCGUAAAGCGCGUGUAGGCGGCAGCGUGUGUCGGGCGUGAAAUCCCACGGCUCAACCGUGGAAGUGCACCCGAAACUGCGCAGCUAGAGUCCUGGAGAGGAAGGUGGAAUACUUGGUGUAGAGGUGGAAUUCGUAGAUAUCAAGUGGAACACCGGUGGCGAAGGCGGCCUUCUGGACAGUGACUGACGCUGAGACGCGAAAGCGUGGGGAGCAAACAGGAUUAGAUACCCUGGUAGUCCACGCCGUAAACGAUGAGUGCUAGGUGUCACGGGCUUUGACCCUCGUGGUGCCGAAGCUAACGCGUUAAGCACUCCGCCUGGGGAGUACGGCCGCAAGGCUA